rnacentral:piRNA from 1 species
CUAGAAUCUAUCUCUCAUGGUCACAAA